UACAGAGGGUGCGAGCGUUGUCCGGAAUCACUGGGCGUAAAGGGCUCGUAGGCGGCCAACUAAGUCGGACGUGAAAUCCCUCGGCUUAACCGGGGAACUGCGUCCGAUACUGGAUGGCUUGAGUUUGGGAGAGGGAUGCGGAAUUCCAGGUGUAGCGGUGAAAUGCGUAGAUAUCUGGAGGAACACCGGUGGCGAAGGCGGCAUCCUGGACCAAUACUGACGCUGAGGAGCGAAAGCCAGGGGAGCAAAGCGGG
rnacentral:rRNA from 1 species